GAAGCUAGAAAAGAAAAUCUCUAUAAAUAUUUAAAUCGAACUGAUAGUUCGCUAAAAAUAGACUUAAUGACGUCACGCUUCACGUUGGUAUUUGUUUAACUAAACCCAUGCCACAAGACACUCACUCAGGGAUGUGUCCGCAGGCCUUUUCUGGCGCCAGACGCAAACCAACCUCUGACUGCGCCGAGCAGAAGUGCAAAUCUGAUGAAGACUGCGCCAAGAACGAGAAAUGUUGCUACACUUACUGCGGAGGAACCGUUUGCUCAACGGUCGUUUACGUUAACAGAAAAACUUAAAAACAACUGCUGUCUUAAAAACGUAUCAAUAAAGUGAAUUAUCUGUGUAA